GGUGGUACAACUGGGUCAAAUGGUGGUUCCAUUCCAAGUUUUCUAAGGAAUCUCCAUACUGCUUUCUAAAAUGGUUGUACCAUUUGCAAUCCUAUCAGCAAU
rnacentral:pre_miRNA from 1 species